ACUUUCCGGGUCACGUGAACGGGAGGAGCUGGAGGAGUCCGACCGAGCUACCGACCGACGCACCGAGGGUUCGAGCCAGGUACUCGGACCGGGCACCGGAGCAAGGUCGAAGACGCCUGGGCCAGGUGCCGGGUCGCAGGUACCCCCGGCCCGAGAUGCGGUAGAAGCAGCGCGCAGGAGACGCCCGGUUCCCGGUGCCACCAGCCCGUCGCCCGGCCCAUGGCGAGCCCCGGCCUGGGGCUGCUUCUGGCGCUCGGCCUGCAGCUGCUGCCCGCCCGCUGGGGCCGGGCCUGGGGGCAAACGCUGGACCCCCCCAUAAAUGACAACAGCACCAUCACACCCUCUGACCCGGGCUCCGGCUCCCAUGGGGCGCUGUCUCAGGAGGCCAUCACCGCCAUCAUUGUGGUCUUCUCCCUCCUGGCCGCCUCGCUCCUGGCCGUGGGGCUGGUGCUGCUGGUUCGAAAACUUCGGGAGAAGCGGCAGACACAGGGCACCUACCGGCCCAGCAGCGAGGAGCAGGUGGGUGCCCGCGUGCCGCCGCCCCCCAACCUCAAGCUGCCGCCGGAGGAGCGGCUCAUCUGAAUGCCGGGGCCCCGUUGCCGCCUCCACCGCUGCUCAGGACUGCCCGGCGCUCGCUCACACGCAGCAGCCGCCACCGAGAAAACAGCCUCUGAUGUUCUCCCACGCAGCCGAGGCCCGGGCUCCCCAGGACUCCAAGGAGACAGUGCGGGGCUGCCUGCCCAUCUAGGUCCCUUUUCCAUCCAUCUCUCUCUCUCUCUCUCUCUCUCUCUCUUGCUGUGUGACCUUGGGGGAAGGCAGAGCCCUCUCUGGGCAAUCAAACCAACUAGUGCUUAAGAAUAGAAGGGAGGAAGGUGCUUCAAAGACUCUGCCCCUGAGGGGAAGGGAGGGUGGUGCUGCUUAUAUUUUAUAUAUAUAUAUAUAUAUAUAUAUAUAUAUAUAAAUACAAUACUGAGAGAGAAAUAAAAUAAUACAUUUUUUUUUUUUUUUUUCUUUUUUUUUUUAAGCCGGUGGGGCAGGAGUCAGGCUAGAUGGAGAGGACAAACUCAGGGCUCAUAGGCUGUUGAGAGAUGAAUUGUAAGGGUGCAAGAAUCCAGGGGGGGGCUUCCUGGAAGGGAGGGGCUUCCUGCUGCACCUGGGAGCCAGCUGGAGGAGGAGGAGGGAGGUGGCGGAUGGGGUACGUUUCUGAGCACAGAGAGGGCCCCCAGAUAAACUCACCAGGAAAACCAGCUUUGGGCUCAUGUGGCUUUAUUGAAGGACCAGGGUCUCCUCUGGGACCCUGAUUCUUAACCUUCAAAACACUUUUUAAGCUCAGCGACUCUGGGCCGGCUCCUAGCCUGGGACUCCUGCCAGUCACUGUCGGGUGCAGCAGGGGGUCUGAGGGCUCCUGGCCCCUUGGGGCACUGGAAAUGAGCACGUUCUGCCAGCAUGACCUCAG